rnacentral:misc_RNA from 1 species
AAUCCAAUCAAGCCUGGCUUGGUGUUGGGCGUCGGGGACACCCCCGCGCCCUAAUUUCACCGGCUGGCCGUCGCCCGUCUUAGCGUUGUGACACACUUUUCGCUGAAGUCGGAGGCGGUCCACGCCGUUAUAAUUCAACGAAUUUCAAUCGAAAUUCCAUUA